AGUGAACGCUGGCGGUAGGCCUAACACAUGCAAGUCGAACGGCAGCACAGUAAGAGCUUGCUCUUACGGGUGGCGAGUGGCGGACGGGUGAGGAAUACAUCGGAAUCUACUUUUUCGUGGGGGAUAACGUAGGGAAACUUACGCUAAUACCGCAUACGACCUACGGGUGGAAGCAGGGGAUCUUCGGACCUUGCGCGAUUGAAUGAGCCGAUGUCGGAUUAGCUAGUUGGCGGGGUAAAGGCCCACCAAGGCGACGAUCCGUAGCUGGUCUGAGAGGAUGAUCAGCCACACUGGAACUGAGACACGGUCCAGACUCCUAAGGGAGGCAGCAGUGGGGAAUAUUGGACAAUGGGCGCAAGCCUGAUCCAGCCAUACCGCGUGGGUGAAGAAGGCCUUCGGGUUGUAAAGCCCUUUUGUUGGGAAAGAAAAGCAGCAGGUUAAUACCCCGCUGUUCUGACGGUACCCAAAGAAUAAGCACCGGCUAACUUCGUG
rnacentral:rRNA from 1 species